rnacentral:lncRNA from 1 species
CCUUUGUCUCCUAACUCCAGGCCUUCGGGCAGGAGCCACCUCUCACCGCCGCCGCCCCUCCCCGUAAGGCAGGCGACGAACACGCGGAGUAUAAACAGGAAUAAUACGCGCUCCUCGGACAGGCCAGCGCGGCCGCACUAACGACUGAGGGGGCUGGGGAGGAGUGAGGGUACACAGCGAGUCUGCCGCGGGCUCAUGCGCGUUGCGCAGCGGAAGGGGCCGGGGGCCGCCGUCGGGCCGUGGCGCGCAUGCGCGACACCGGCGGCAGGGGCGAGCGGCGGCCGGUGGAGGUUUGCCGCGCUCUCGCUGUCCUUGUGCCUCCGCGCGCGCCGGGCUCGCCCUCCCGCCAUGUUGUUGUGAGCCCCUCGCGGCCGAAGGGGGGGCGGGGAGGCAGGAAGGAGCAGUGGCGAGAGGAGGAGGAGGCGGGGGGAGGAGGCGGGUGGUGGCGGGCCGGCGGGCGGGCAAGCAAGCAGACAGGCAGGCAGGCAGGCAGGGCUGUCCCAGCGCCCGCUCCGGCUCCAUCGCAGCAAACAGCGUCGCCGGCCAGCCCUGCUCUUUAAGGAUAAUGACUGCUUUCUGAGGGUGGAGCGAGAAGGCCAAACGCUUUUGGUAGUUGAUACCACACAAUGAAGUGUUAGCUUUUAAUUCUUCUUCAAGCUUGUCUGCGCAGACUACAAUAACAAAGUUGAGCAAAAUGCCAGCUGCCCUGAGUGGAUGGUGCUUACAACUAACAGUUUGGGGCUUAAUCUCCUUGGCAGUAGUUGUGCAAAGAUUUUUUUUUCUUUUUUGGCAUUGUUCAUUCCUCAUCUAUUUCAUUACUUCAGAUUGUAAUUCCUUGAGAGAAAAUUAAUAUACUCGGGACGUUUUAUAUUUGUUUUGGCUUACUGGUUGAAGCAAGAUGGCUUAACACCAAAAUGCAUAACGUGUUUUUUUUUUAUAUGUGAUGUGAUGAUCCCAAAAAUCAGCUGAUUUUUGGGAUGCUUUUUUUCUGAGCAGUGUAGGCAUUUAUGAGCUAUAUUAUAUAGGUCAUUGCAAAUGAGAAUCGGUGACACUUCUUAUUUUGCCUUUUUGCUUGUCACAUGCUGCAUGUUGACAAAAUACUUUUGGAUUUAUAUUAGUUUCUCCUUUACAGAAGUCUUUGUUGCAUCUCAAGUGAGGGAUCAGGCUUCUUUAGUUAAUGUCAGUUGAUGUUAUAGCUCUUCAGGUAUGUGGGAUAUGAAUGCAUUUGAAACCUAAUUACUACCCCAUGUUACCAUUUUUACAUAUGAAACAUAAUGUUCUAUUAUAUUUACUCAUGUAUAGGUUUAAAACCAAAUGCUAACAACAGUUGCAGUUUUGUUGAGAGCCUCAAAGAGUUAUUGUCUAUGUUCUUCUGGAAUGCAACUCAGUUUGUGUCAGUGCAAAUAUAAAUGUGUUAGACAGGUGGGGGAAGGAAACUCGAAUAAAAAGGGAAACGAUAAUUUUGUGGUGGUGUAGUUUGUGUUAUAUCUAUAAAAAUGACACUAAAUCACCUGACAGUUUUCUGAAGUGUUCAGGGAGUUGAAAAUUCAGAAUUUGUCCCAGCAGAAUAGUUCGUAUACAAAUGCAUGUGGGAAACUGCUUGAUAAUGAAGAUUCUGCAGUUUAUUAUGUGGAUGUUACACACUGGAAAGUCCAUGUUAUUUGAAUAGUAUUUUUUUUCUGCAUUAAUAGGGAAUGGUACUUUUUUUUUUUCUGUAACAUUACCCUGUAGUACUUAAUAUUUUCUUCUGUGUUAGGGAUAUUGGCACAGAGCUGAGGCAGUUAUGGUCAUAUCUGAUACCAUGGUUGAGCUAAUGGUGCAAGUAGUUGGCUGAAAAAGUCAGACUUGUCUGUCUCUUGAUGAGAAGAUGCCUCUUGUUAUGGCAGUAUAGAUAAAACCUUACGCAGUAGUAGUAGUAGUGCACAUUGGAAACUUUAGGUACAUGUUUUACUCCAGGUUUGCUCUCUCAGGUGUUUCUUUACAGUCUCCUCACUGGGCUGGAUAAUGCAGAUGCUUGGGGCAAGUGUUGUUAACAGAACAUCAGCAUGUUGCAUACUGUGAACUAGACUGAUUUUUAGCAGCACUUCGUGGUUCACUUUUGGAUAUUCCUCCCUCCCCUCUGAUUUAACAGUACAUCAGUUCUUUUAUGAGUGCAAGUUUUCAUACACAGAAGCAAGUAGAUGGUUUGAAUUCUUUGUUGUAUGUCUUGAUGCUGCUUUUGAAUGUGGAAUGAUACAAAAACUCACUGUUGCAGUAAAAAGAAACCAAAGGUCACUUCAGUGUUUAAUGUUUUUGUAUUGGGAAUCUCCUGUGAAAAAAGCAUUUAAUACAUUGUGUUUUCUUUUUUAAACAUUUCUUAUAAAAGCUCUACAGAGGAAACAACAUCUAACUAUAGAGCAAACAUGCUUUACAAAUAUGUGUGUAUUAUGUGUAAGAUAUGUGAGUUACCAAUCUUCUUUCUCCUACCUUCACUAAAUUUACUUGAAAAUACUUUCCUUGUUUAAUGUGAAUUUAACCUACACAAAGCAUAGCUGUUGUCUUGAUUAUUCUGCAUAACGCAACAAUUCCAGUGUAGCUGCAAAGCCAGUGCCUAGAUUCUUGUCUCAAAAUGAGACAAAUCUUGUUUAAAAGCACAACAAACACCAGUUAUGUCAUGCUUCUGAUAAUGAAGUCGGAGGCACUUCACAGUCAUAUAGUGGAAAAGCAUUUUAAAUGAUGUCAUAACAAAGAAGAAUAUUUAGUUCUAGCUACCUGGGUGUUAUCUCAAACAAGUUGUGUAAGAUUUAUUUUAUAGUAAUUGCUUACAUAUUGAAACUUUGUAGCAGGAUUUAAUUUGAAUCCCACUCAGAAUACCUGCUGUGGCUUUUAGAAUGGUAGUCAAGAGCUUUUCAAGC